CCCUUAGAUGUUCUGGUCCGCACGCGUGCUACACUGAGUGGAUCAGCGGGUCAGCUUGCGCGAAAGCGUUUCCUAAUCUUUAAAUCCGCUCGUUAUGGGGAUUGACGGUUGCAAUUUUCUGUCAUGAACGAGGAAUACCUUGUAAGCGCGGGUCAUCAUCCCGCGCUGAAUACGUCCCUGCCCUUUGUACACACCGCCCGUCGCUCCUACCGAUUGGAUGGUCCGGUGAAGCCUCGGGAUUGUGGUUCUUGCCGCUUUAUUGUGGCGUGACCGCGAGAACUUGUCUAAACCUUAUCAUCUAGAGGAAGGUGAAGUCGUAACA
rnacentral:rRNA from 1 species